rnacentral:rRNA from 1 species
AUUGAACGCUAGCGGGAUGCUUUACACAUGCAAGUCGAACGAGUGGCGGACGGGUGAGUUACAUAACGGAACGUGCCCAGUUGCGGGGGAUAACUACUCGAAAGAGUGGCUAAUACCGCAUAGUUCUGGAGCGGUCGAUAGCGGAGUAGCUAGUUGGUGGGGUACAGGCGCACCAAGGCAACGAUCCGUAGCUGGUUUGAGAGGAUGACCAGCCACACUGGGACUGAGACACGGCCCAGGCGCCUACGGGAGGCAGCGGUGGGGAAUUGUGGAGUAUGGGGGAAUACCUGAUCCAGCCAUCCCGCGUGUAUGAGAAGGCCUUCGGGUUGUAAAGUACUUUUGGCAGAGAAGCGGUAUCUGCAGAAGAAGCGCCGGCUAACUACGUGCCAGCCGCCGCGGUAAUAC